CCUACGGGAGGCAGCAGUAGGGAAUCUUCCGCAAUGGACGCAAGUCUGACGGAGCAACGCCGCGUGAGUGAAGAAGGUCUUCGGAUCGUAAAGCUCUGUUGUUAGAGAAGAACAGCGCAUAGAGUAACUGUUAUGCGUGUGACGGUAUCUAACCAGAAAGCCACGGCUAACUACGUGCCAGCAGCCGCGGUAAUACGUAGGUGGCGAGCGUUGUCCGGAUUUAUUGGGCGUAAAGGGAGUGUAGGCGGUCUUUUAAGUCUGAUGUGAAAGCCCACGGCUCAACCGUGGAGGGUCAUUGGAAACUGGGAGACUUGAGUGCAGAAGAGGAGAGCGGAAUUCCAUGUGUAGCGGUGAAAUGCGUAGAUAUAUGGAGGAACACCAGUGGCGAAGGCGGCUCUCUGGUCUGUAACUGACGCUGAGGCUCGAAAGCGUGGGGAGCAAACAGGAUUAGAUACCCUGGUAGUCCACGCCGUAAACGAUGAGUGCUAAGUGUUGGAGGGGUACCACCCUUCAGUGCUGGAGUUAACGCAAUAAGCACUCCGCCUGGGGAGUACGGCCGCAAGGCUGAAACUCAAAGGAAUUGACGG
rnacentral:rRNA from 1 species